rnacentral:rRNA from 1 species
UGGGGAAUAUUGCACAAUGGGCGAAAGCCUGAUGCAGCAACGCCGCGUGAGGGACGACGGCCUUCGGGUUGUAAACCUCUUUUAGCAAGGAAGAAGCGAAAGUGACGGUACUUGCAGAAAAAGCGCCGGCUAACUACGUGCCAGCAGCCGCGGUAAUACGUAGGGCGCAAGCGUUAUCCGGAAUUAUUGGGCGUAAAGAGCUCGUAGGCGGUUUGUCGCGUCUGCUGUGAAAACCCGAGGCUCAACCUCGGGCCUGCAGUGGGUACGGGCAGACUAGAGUGCGGUAGGGGAGAUUGGAACUCCUGGUGUAGCGGUGGAAUGCGCAGAUAUCAGGAAGAACACCGAUGGCGAAGGCAGAUCUCUGGGCCGUAACUGACGCUGAGGAGCGAAAGGGUGGGGAGCAAAACAGGGCUUAGAUGACCCUGGUAGUCCACCCCGUAAACGUUGGGAACUAGUUGUGGGGUCCAUUCCACGGAUUCCGUGACGCAGCUAACGCAUUAAGUUCCCCGCCUGGGGAGUACGGCCGCAAGGCU